CUGUCCUUCCGAAGUUUUUCUGGUUAAGCAACCCUAGGUCUAUUUCUUAUCUCUCUACCUCCAAGGUCUCUCUAGUGAAGAGAAAACCGGGAAUCUGUUUCUUAUCUCUAGGCCUGUACCAGAACAAACGAGAUACCCAUUUCAGAUUCUGCUCUGCUUUUGUUGAUCUCUCCCCCCAUUUCCAAAAACCUUCUCACGGAACACUCCAUCGCAUUCGAGCUUUUCACCACUCAGGAAACCCCCCCACUCUCCCCUGCUGUUUCUUUUCUUUCCUUUGCUCAGAGGGAAGGGGGGAAAGGAAAAUCUGUCACGGACACUGUCAACAC